rnacentral:rRNA from 1 species
AAUAUUGCGCAAUGGAGGAAACUCUGACGCAGCAACGCCGCGUGAAGGAUGAAGGCUUUCGGGUUGUAAACUUCUUUGAUCGGGGACGAAAAUGACGGUACCCGAGGAACAAGCCACGGCUAACUACGUGCCAGCAGCCGCGGUAAUACGUAGGUGGCAAGCGUUGUCCGGAAUUACUGGGUGUAAAGGGCGUGUAGGCGGGGAGGCAAGUCAGAUGUGAAAUCCCGAGGCUCAACUUCGGAGCUGCAUCUGAAACUGUUUCUCUUGAGUACUGGAGAGGAAAGUGGAAUUCCUAGUGUAGCGGUGAAAUGCGUAGAGAUUAGGAGGAACACCAGUGGCGAAGGCGGCUUUCUGGACAGUAACUGACGCUGAGGCGCGAAAGCGUGGGGAGCAAACAGG